rnacentral:rRNA from 1 species
AGCGAACGCUGGCGGCAGGCUUAACACAUGCAAGUCGAGCGGGCAUAGCAAUAUGUCAGCGGCAGACGGGUGAGUAACGCGUGGGAACGUACCUUUUGGUUCGGAACAACACAGGGAAACUUGUGCUAAUACCGGAUAAGCCCUUACGGGGAAAGAUUUAUCGCCGAAAGAUCGGCCCGCGUCUGAUUAGCUAGUUGGUGAGGUAAUGGCUCACCAAGGCGACGAUCAGUAGCUGGUCUGAGAGGAUGAUCAGCCACAUUGGGACUGAGACACGGCCCAAACUCCUACGGGAGGCAGUAGUGGGGAAUAUUGGACAAUGGGCGCAAGCCUGAUCCAGCCAUGCCGCGUGAGUGAUGAAGGCCCUAGGGUUGUAAAGCUCUUUUGUGCGGGAAGAUAAUGACGGUACCGCAAGAAUAAGCCCCGGCUAACUUCGUG